GAAACAUGACUCUCUCACCCAGACAGCAAGAUCACACUCUGACACAAAUUCCUGCCCUUUUGGGAAGUAUGAUAAGCCUCAAGGCAAACAAUUCUUCCUUCACAACUGCAGUUCUGGGGACCUGAUGACAUAGAAUGACUCGCUAGACUCCUGCCUCUUCUACUUCAUUCUUACCAUGAGCUCCCCUAGAAGAUGUAGUCAUCCACCAUUACCAAGAUCUGGAACCAGAAAGAUCAAGCUCUAGGAAGCAGCACACACUAUACUCCUGUGUGGAAACAAAGUAAUCCUCAUCAGAUCAUCUAACUUGCUGUUGCUAUAAGGACUGUGAAUUGGUAACCAUAAAUAAAGCAUAGGAAAGAGGAGGGAAAGCACCAUCAACGAUAGUUAAAAACUGGAUGUGACAUUUGA